rnacentral:rRNA from 1 species
AAACCUCAGCGAUGGAUAUCUCGGCUUUCGUAACGAUGAAGAACGCAGCAAACUGCGAAAACCACUGCGAAUUGCAGAACCAUGAGUCAGUAGAUUUUCGAACGCAACCGGUGCCUUCUGGGCAUGUUUGGUUCAGUGCCU